rnacentral:rRNA from 1 species
UACGUAGGGUGCAAGCGUUGUCCGGAAUUAUUGGGCGUAAAGAGCUCGUAGGCGGCCUGUCACGUCGGCUGUGAAAUCCCGAGGCUCAACCUCGGGUCUGCAGUCGAUACGGGCAAACUAGAGUAUUGCAGGGGAGACUGGAAUUCCUGGUGUAGCGGUGAAAUGCGCAGAUAUCAGGAGGAACACCGGUGGCGAAGGCGGGUCUCUGGGCAAUAACUGACGCUGAGGAGCGAAAGCGUGGGGAGCGAACAGG